rnacentral:rRNA from 1 species
ACGCUCGACACCUACGGGGGGCAGCAGUGGGGAAUAUUGCACAAUGGGGGAAACCCUGAUGCAGCGACGCCGCGUGAGCGAAGAAGUAUUUCGGUAUGUAAAGCUCUAUCAGCAGGGAAGAAACUGACGGUACCUGACUAAGAAGCACCGGCUAAAUACGCGCCAGCAGCCGCGGUAAUCUGAGCGGGCUGGCAAGGC